AGUGAACGCUGGCGGUAGGCCUAACACAUGCAAGUCGAACUGCAGCACAGUAGUUCUUGCUCUCUAGGUUGCGAGUGGCGGACGGGUGUGGCAUACAUCUGAAUCUUCCCAUUCGUUGGUGAUAACUUAGGGAAACUUACGCUAAUACUGCAUACGACCUUCGGGUGUAUGUGUGUGAUCGCAAUACCUCUCUCGAUUGUAUGAGCCGAUGUCGGAUUAGCUAGUUAGCGGGGUAAUGGCCCACCAAGGCGACGAUCCGUAGCUGGUCUGAGAGGAUGAUCAGACACACUGGAACUGAGACACGGUCCAGACUCCUACGGGAGGCAGCAGUGGGGAAUAUUGGACAAUGGGCGCAAGCCUGAUCCAGCCAUACCGCGUGGGUGAAGAAGGACUUCGGGUUGUAAAGCCCUUUUGUUGGGAAAGAAAUCAUUCAGGCUAAUACCCUGGGAGGAUGACGGUACCAAAAGAAUAAGCACCGGCUAACUUCGUG
rnacentral:rRNA from 1 species